rnacentral:sRNA from 2 species
CUCAUGACCCCGCGAUGCUGGCGGACCCCCGACCUGGCAGCAUCGCGGGGUUUCCAU